UACAGAGGGGGCAAGCGUUAUUCGGAAUUAUUGGGCGUAAAGGGCGCGUAGGCGGCUUUGCAAGUGACGGGUGAAAGCCCUCGGCUUAACCGAGGAACUGCCUGUCAGACUGUAAGGCUUGAGACCGGGAGAGGUGAGUGGAAUUCCCAGUGUAGCGGUGAAAUGCGUAGAUAUUGGGAGGAACACCAGUGGCGAAGGCGGCUCACUGGACCGGAACUGACGCUGAGGCGCGAAGGUCAGGGGAGCAAACGGG
rnacentral:rRNA from 1 species